rnacentral:rRNA from 1 species
AUGGGGGAAAUUUGUUGGGCGUUUGGUCUAGAGAUGGGUGACACCAUAGUAUUCAGAUACAUUGGGAACUCUCGGUUUAAUGUCAUAAUCUUUGAUGAACUUGGCUGUGAGAAGGUAUCAUCAGUUUUUGUGGAUCCUUCUCCGCCUCCUGUGCAAGAAAAGCGAACAAGUGCUACUGAUACUGUGAAAGGUUCUCAUUUUCGUCCUCAGACCAUAGAAACGCAGCCAUUUAGCAUAGGGAAAGGGAUGCGAAUGGAGUCACCACGCCUCCAAAUGGAAAUGGACAAGUCAUGGGAAGACAACAACACCGUUUUAAGUGUUUCCUCCCACGAGUCAUCAGGAGAUCCUGUCUACUAUGAAGUAGAAUGUGGGGUACGUGAAGUGCCUGGUUCCGAUUUCAAAGUCAGGAAGAAGAAGGCCAGGCUAUCUUCAAAUCAGAAGGAGCAGUUGAAGGAUGGUUACUUUAUCAGCCACAAGACCAAACUAACUUCAACUCAGAAGGAAAUGGUGAAGCAGAUGGUCCAAUCCAUAUACUCAGAGAUCCCCAUCUUCGUUGCUGUGAUGAGCAAGUGCAACGUUGUUGUAGAAUUCUAUCUGACUUUUCCUAGACACUACGCUAAGAAAUAUCUCACAGAGGAGCCACACAUGUGUCUUCAGCGGCAGGGCCGGAAGUGGGAGGCACGGUAUUGUGAAUACAAUGGCGGGAAAAAGCUCACUAUUGGAUGGAAACAGUUUGUAAAAGACAACAAGCUGAAGAUGGGUGAUAUCUGCCUCUUUAAACUGUUGAGCAAUGAGAGAACCAUGAAGGUCUAUAUCAUCAGUGAAAACGUUGCCAAUUAUCGGGCAGGUCUCCAGAAUGACGCUGACCGGGAAGCGGUGUUCCGGAGAGGGGCUCAUGAUGUGGAUGGAGCGCGUGAUCCCGACUCAAGGUUCCUUCGCACAACUAAAACUGAAGCUAUGGAAGAUGAUGUUGUUUUCAAAACUGAAGACGGUGCCUGA